rnacentral:rRNA from 1 species
UACGUAGGGUGCGAGCGUUGUCCGGAAUUACUGGGCGUAAAGCGUGCGCAGGCGGUUGUGUAAGACAGAUGUGAAAUCCCCGGGCUCAACCUGGGAACUGCAUUUGUGACUGCACGGCUGGAGUGCGGCAGAGGGGGAUGGAAUUCCGCGUGUAGCAGUGAAAUGCGUAGAUAUGCGGAGGAACACCGAUGGCGAAGGCAAUCCCCUGGGCCUGCACUGACGCUCAUGCACGAAAGCGUGGGGAGCAAACAGG